rnacentral:rRNA from 1 species
GAUGAACGCUGGCGGCGUGCCUAAUACAUGCAAGUCGAGCGAACAGACGAGGAGCUUGCUCCUCUGACGUUAGCGGCGGACGGGUGAGUAACACGUGGAUAACCUACCUAUAAGACUGGGAUAACUUCGGGAAACCGGAGCUAAUACCGGAUAAUAUAUUGAACCGCAUGGUUCAAUAGUGAAAGACGGUUUUGCUGUCACUUAUAGAUGGAUCCGCGCCGCAUUAGCUAGUUGGUAAGGUAACGGCUUACCAAGGCGACGAUGCGUAGCCGACCUGAGAGGGUGAUAGGCCACCCUGGAACUGAGACACGGUCCAGACUACUACGGGAGGCAGCAGUAGGGAAUCUUCCGCAAUGGGCGAAAGCCUGACGGAGCAACGCCGCGUGAGUGAUGAAGGUCUUCGGAUCGUAAAACUCUGUUAUUAGGGAAGAACAAAUGUGUAAGUAACUAUGCACGUCUUGACGGUACCUAAUCAGAAAGCCACGGCUAACUACGUG